CCACCCACAAACACCUGGGAUUGAGCUAUCAUCACUCUGGGUUUAUGUUUGGUCAUGCAUGCAAAAUAAAGGCUUAAUCAUAGAAAUGGUUUAUGACAUCACUACUCACACUCAGUUCAGGGAAUAAAUACUCAAGCAAUUCCAAAUGUCUGACAACCUGGUCACCAGCUAUUGGAGUAACUCUGUAGAUCAAGCCCCAAACCUGCAGUGAAAGCUCUCAAAGAUGGGUGGGUCAAAGAUGCUCCCAGAGAUGACUUCUCGUACCAAAAUGCCUAGAGUAUCAUCAUGGGGUGACAUGAUUGAGACACCAGAAGACAAAGCGGCCAGGUUGACUGUCCAGUGGAAGAUGCCAAAAAACUCCAUUCACCAGACUCCACACAUUACUUACCCACGUAGCCCAUCACUGUGGAGAACAUAUGUACCUGAGCCACGCUUUAUCCAGCCUAGAAUUGUUGAUCAGCCAGAUCCAGAAACUUUGAAGAAGCAAUGUAUGUACCGAAAGAAGCUGGAAAAGGAAAAAAAGAAGGCCAUGAAGAAAAGGUCUGAUUUCUCUCUCUCCAAGUUUGUCAAGGUAGCAAAGAUUAAACAGAAAGAGAUUGGUAUUUGGGAGGAAGAGAUGAAAGGAGAAAGGCUCAAGGGUCUCAUAAAGUACUUGGCUUCCCCUGUGGAACUUGAACAAAUCUAUGCAGCUCAGGCCCUUGGGCACCUUGGUGUUGCUGAAGAAAUGGUUAUAUCUGCACUUUAUACUACUUUUCAGGAAAGCAACAGUCGGACAUUGCAGUAUGAAGCAGCUCGGUCCCUGGCUUUGCUGGGUUGCCUAGAGUCUUCUGUAAUGAAAGUACUCAUCAAACAUUUGAAAGUAGUGACCCUGAAUCGGAGAGAAGAUAUAUUGGCUGCAUUGAAGGUUUCUCUGCAAGCCUGGGCAUUCACACCAACUUUUGAGCAACAUUGUAUAGGGUUCCACAAUAGCUUAACACGAAAUCUACAGCGGCUGGUGGACUUGCAGGAUCCAUUGGAUGAUAUAAGCUUUGAUGCAGCCCUUUGCUUGGGUUACCUGGACAAGUCCAAUCUACUUGCCCAACAGACCAUGUUGAUGAGCUUGACCCAGAAAGACUGGAAGAAAAAAAUUCAGGCCUUGGUUAUGCUCAUAAAGCGCAUGGAAAUCAUGAAUGCUGAAAUUAUCCAUUGCGUUCUACACCAUCUCCAACAUUGUCCUGUUUACAAGCAACGUGCAGACUCUGCACAGCUGUUGACCACUAUAGGACUCGAGAUCAUCCAGCAGGAAGGCAUGGAGGAAAUGGUGUUUAAUGUGCUUCUGACGAAGCUAUCUGAGGAACCCUUUCUGGUGGUGAGGCAAUUUGUGGCCUUGGCUAUUGAAGAACUGGAAAUGAAGAAACAGGUCUGGGAGAUAGUAGAGAAGCAACUGAAGGAUGAACAAGCUCAGAUUCGAAAGCAGGCUGUGAUUGCAUUGGGUGUCCUUGGUCUUCGCAAGGCAAGUGUUUUCCUUGCUAUGUUGGAGAUGCUGGAGCUGGAUACCAGUAUGGAUGUCCGUGUACAGGUUAUUAGGGCAUUUUCUACUCUGGGAAUGAACAAUGCACACGUGCGGAAGAGCCUUAGAAGAAAGGAACAGACAGGAGGCAUUCUAGCCAGAGAAUGUACCAAAGCCUUGAAAGUCCUAGAUAAAAUCUCUGUGGCCAGGAAAGAGUCAAUGAUCAAAUCCUACAGGGUCGCCUGAGACAUCGGUUUUUGGAUAACAGACUGCCACCAGAUUAAAUCUCAGGAUUUUGCAUUGCACAACACAAAGGAAAGAAAUGGCAGUGUGCAGCAUGAAGCUUCCUUCGACUAUUUGCAAGAAUUACCUAAUAGGAAAAUAGCACAAGUUAUAGAAGUGUCCAAUGUCCAGAAUUCUAUAACAUUUCAGCUGGGAAAUUAUAAUCCUUAAAGACCAACUGGACAUAACGAAGCAUGGUGGAGUUGGAAAGAUGAAGAUGUAUGUGUGUAGAUUUAAGAAAAAACCCACACAAAAUGAUGUAAGUAAAGGAAUGGAAUAUGAAAAAUGUAUCUAGAAUGAAAAUUAUUAAUUAUUCAAUUAAAUUGAAUAUGGCAUAUAGAAACAGGAAUAAAGAUAUAGAAGUACUGUAAGGAGAAAAA